rnacentral:rRNA from 1 species
AGAGUUUGAUCAUGGCUCAGGAUAAACGCUGGCGGCGUGCGUAAAACAUGUAAGUCGAACGGGGUGAGGCCGCAANNNNGNCCCAGUGGCGGCCGGCUGAGUAACGCGUAGGUGACUUGCCCUAAAGUGGGGAAUAACGAUUCGAAAGAAUCGCUAAUACCGCAUGUGGUUGUACGUAUAGACACGCGCAACUAAAGCUCGCAAGGGCGCUUUGGGAGAGGCCUGCGUCCGAUUAGCUAGUUGGUGGGGUAACGGCCUACCAAGGCUCCGAUCGGUAGCUGAUCUGAGAGGAUGAUCAGCCAGACUGGGACUGAGACACGGCCCAGACUCCUACGGGAGGCAGCAGUUAGGAAUUUUGCACAAUGGGCGAAAGCCUGAUGCAGCAACGCCGCGUGGACGAUGAAGGCCUUCGGGUCGUAAAGUCCUUUUCAGAGGGAAGACACAGACGGUACCUCUGGAAUAAGCCUCGGCUAACUACGUGCCAGCAGCCGCGGUAAUACGUAGGAGGCGAGCGUUAUCCGGAUUUACUGGGCGUAAAGAGCGCGUAGGUGGUUUCGUAAGUUGGACGUGAAAGCCCCCGGCUUAACUGGGGAGGGUCGUUCAAUACUGCGGGACUUGAGGGUGGAAGAGGAGACUGGAAUUCCCGGUGUAGUGGUGAAAUGCGUAGAUAUCGGGAGGAACACCUGUGGCGUAGGCGAGUCUCUAGGCCAUUCCUGACACUGAGGCGCGAAAGCGUGGGGAGCGAACGGAAUUAGAUACUCCGGUAGUCCACGCCCUAAACUAUGGACACUAGGUGUGGUGGGUAUCGACCCCUGCCGUGCCGCAGUUAACACAAUAAGUGUCCCGCCUGGGGACUACGAGCGCAAGCUUAAAACUCAAAGGAAUUGACGGGGCCCCGCACAAGCAGCGGAGCGUGUGGUUUAAUUCGACGUAACACGAAGAACCUUACCGGGGUUUGACAUGUACAUGUAAUCCCGUGAAAACGGGACCCCUCGUAAGAGGCGUGUACACAGGUGUUGCAUGGCUGUCGUCAGCUCGUGCCGUGAGGUGUUGGGUUAAGUCCCGCAACGAGCGCAACCCUUGUCGCCAGUUGCUCUCUCUGGCGAGACUGCCGAGUUUAACUCGGAGGAAGGCGGGGAUGACGUCAAGUCAGCAUGGCCCUUACAUCCCGGGCUACACACACGCUACAAUGGACGGUACAGAGGGUUGCUAAGCCGCGAGGCGGAGCCAAUCCCACAAAACCGUUCUCAGUACAGAUCGCAGUCUGAAACUCGACUGCGUGAAGGCGGAGUUGCUAGUAACCGCAGGUCAGCAUACUGCGGUGAAUAUGUUCCCGGGGCUUGUACACACCGCCCGUCACGUCAUGAAAGCCGGUAACACCUGAAGCCGCUGAGCUAACCCGCAAGGGAGGCAGGUGUCGAGGGUGGGGCUGGUGAUUGGGACGAAGUCGUAACAAGGUAGCGUACCGGAAGGUGUGGCUGGAUCACCUCCUU